UUCUGGUAAAUAAUUGUGAAGAAAGAACAGCCGCGUGUGGGUUAACUCGACUUUCCACCUAAUAUGGUGGUUUUCCCACGAUGCACCGCGGCCGAGGUAAACAAUUGACGUCACGUGGUGCAGAUCGAUUGGUCGGCAUUUAAAAAAACAUGAAACAAUCACAUGCGUUUUUGAAAACUGCGAUUUCAAAACGAACAUUUAUGGUACUUUCGCCUCUCACAGGACACGCAAACACACUCCACACUCACUGGAUGACUUCAAGGCUGAGCUUGUGCACAGGCAUGUGAAUCCAGUUAAUGUAGGGGAUGAUCCUGAUGAUGAUGAAGAUAUUGAGUGUGGAGAGGGUUAUGAUGAAGAAAGGAAAGAAUUGCCCAGCAUAAUUGAAGCUAAUCUUGCCCACCUUUUUCUGAAAUUGGAAAGCAUAUCUAAUGUUCCUAAACAGUGUAUUACUGAGAUGGUUGAAGAACUUAACUUUAUUUCUAGCUCUGCAUCUGGCCCUGUUAUGAAAGACGUUAUUACAGUUCUUGAGCCAGCUCCGUUGUCUGAUAUAUUCCCUUUAGCUGCAUACACCAUUGCAGGGAAGCGUAUGGUCACUCUGAAGCGAUUCAUUUACUUGCCAUAGAUGGAUUUUUUUUCACAUUGUCUUUGUGUUAUCUAGUGAUAGCAAAAGAUGGCAGAUUUCACAGAAAACAAGCAAUCCCAAGAAAGUAUUUCCCCUGCUGAAAGAAUACUGCAUGCAAUAAAUGAGGAAAUGGAUUUUACUGAUUCUGAUGUUCCAGAUGCUCAAACAUCUCAUCUGAGAAAACCUGCUGUACUUCGUGUUAUUGUUCAAGACCAUAUAAUUGACAAGCUUGAACUGCCUUAUGGAGUACCAGAGACAGUGGAUGAGCUGCAGUCUAUUGUACAACAGAAAUAUAGAUUGGAAGCAGGGAAGUUUAUCUUACAUUACAAGGAUGUGGAUUUUGGAGGAGAAUUUUUUUCUCUUGCAUCAACCAAAGAUCUUAAAGAUAAAGACACAAUUAAGGUUGUCCAUAUUGUUGAUCUCUCCUCAAUCCAAUUUGUUGUAACUGACCUCGAUAGAUC